UAGAGAAUAGUGUAAUGGUAACACCUCAUUUUCCAAAGAUGAUAAUAAAGGUUCGAUUCCUUUUUCUCUUG
rnacentral:tRNA from 1 species